CCAUGAAGUAACGCAAGCACCGCACGUUUUGUAUGUCUCCCUAUAUCUGACACAACCACUUCAGGUCUUGCAGUCUCCACUAAUGAGCAGAUGAGUGGAAUCAGGUGUGAUACUUGAGGGAGACAUACAGCAUGUGCAGGGCUGGGGGUACUCCAGGACAGGAUUUACACAAGCUCCAGUCUGGAUCCAUAACACCUGAGAAGAGAUGAUGCCAAUCCAUCAGACGACAUCAGAUGAUGCUAACCCUGAAACAACAUACAGAAGUACCAAAUUUUGCUAACACAUCUAAUUUCAUACCAGAGGCAUAUGCAGAUGCAUAUGGAGUAAAAUAAAUGUCUCAAUCUAAAGACUUCUCCUGCUCUCCUGAUUCUCUGACCGGAAUCUGGUCCAUACUUGGCCGCCUCAACCAGUUGUAAUUCAAAUGUAGUAAGGUUUACUACAUUAGUUUGGUCCUUCGAGCCGGAUUAAGAGCAACAUCAAACCAGUAUGGACCCAACAGUAAGUGACACAGAGACAAUGGAAAGACCUCGCCGCAGGACAAAUCUUCCGCCUCACCUGGAUGAUUAUGAGGUUGGCUACCGGCCCGCAGAGGACCAUCCUCCUAAAGUUUCUACCCCCUGUCCCAGUCAACGUAGAAGCAGCUCGAGGAAAACGUCCCACAGCAGUACCAGCUCUCAUUCCAGGACCAGUAGGCAUUCCAUUACCUCCACUGGCGUUUAUCUUCCACCAGAACUCUCUAAUGUCCAGACUGCUGUUUUGGAGGAGAAGAUAAAGCAGAGACAGUUUGACAGUCUCCGGCAGCAGGUACAGGAGGACUCACUCGCUGACAUGGAAUAUCAGCGGCUGCAGACACAAGCAAAGAAGCUCAGUGCAUUCAGGAAGAGGCUCUCGCAGCUAAGGAGGCUUUGUCCAAGCAUCUAGAGAGACAGCGCAAGCUGCAACAAGCAGAGACCGAACUCGAGGUAGCAAACCUUGUAUCUACCAUGCUUAUUAAAGACUCUUGUUCAGCCACUCCUAUGCAUCCAGGCUCACCAGCCAGCCCUUUGCCUCCACCUCAAACCAAUCAGAGUAGUCCAGCCAUGAGUCCACAGUCUCACUUGUUGUCUCAGCAGCCCUUUACUCAGUCACCAGCCGUGACAUCAUCUGUACAGCCUUCCUCAGGUGAUCAGAUAAUGCUGGAAGACACAUCACAGCUGUCACUCAGGCCACAGGCUGACAUUACCUACCACUGAAUCCGUGAGUGUUUUUUUCCCUAAAGCACUCCAUUUGCCACAAGCAGUUUCGUCACCAGUCUCUACAGUAUCUCAGGCUGCCGCUAUAACUGCGCCAUUACACACAGUGAUGUCAGCAUCAUAUGUGGUACCUCAGCCCUCCUCAUUAGCCACAGUUAAGUCCACUGCUGCGCACUCCAUGAAUAUGAGCAUGCCGUCUGUGCCACAGCUGUCUACAAGUCCAUAUGUGAUACGUCAAUCAUUGAACCCUCCAGUGAGCACACAUGCAUAUCAUCUGCAACCUCCAGUUACUAGCCAGCAGGCAUCAGCUAUGCCACCUAAUGCUAGCUUUGCUCAGCCACCCUCAUUCCUGCACCUUCCCCACACACAUUCUGCAUACCCUGGUACAGAGCUACUAUAUGCCUCAGCUUAUGGCAUCCCACAACCUAAGCUACCAGUGUUUGAAAGUGGUAAUGAGAGUGACUUUGCACUGUUAAAAUUGGCAUUGGACAAUUUGUUAAGUAAUCACAGCUAUCUCAGUGAGCAAUACAAAUACCACGUCCUGUUAAGCCAUUUGAAGCUUCCCAGUGCUCAGCAGCUAGCUAAAGCCUACAUGUAUCAUUCGCAUCCAUACUCAGCUGCGCUGCAGGCACUUCAGGAUAAGUAUGGGCAGCCAAGACAACUUGUGCAGUCAGAGCUGGGUGCCAUUAUGAACAGUCCACCACUUAGACUGGGCGAUGCUAAUGCCUUUGACUCCUUUGCCUUGUCAGUGCAAUCAUUGGUAGGCAUGUUGAGGACUCUUGAAGGUCAGAAUGGUUUCGAGCUCAUGUGUGGCUCUCAUGUGGAUCAUCUGCUCAGCAAGUUGCCACCUGCCUAUCGUGAUAGCUUUGUUGAAUACUGCCUUUUAAAGGGUAUUCUCCAGACAGGCACAGACAAAACCUAUACACUCCCCGAUCUGGCUUCGUGGUUAGAGAUUAAGUCCCAGGCGAAACAUAUUUCCACCCGAGCUGCAGCCUUGUUUCAGAGCGACUCACCCAAGUCCUAUGGUAAACCUACAACAUCUACUCGUCCAAAGGAGCGAUUUACACCGGUUCUGUUGACCAGUGAGAGGGGCACGAAAGGUCCUGAUACUGCAGCACAGAAAUCUAGCUCAAAGCCGAAGCCCAGGCCAUAUUGUCCUCAUUGUGAUAGCAGGGAUCAUUACCUCAAUGCCUGUGACCAGUUUAAGAAACUAACUACAGCUCAAAUCAUCACUUGGAUUAAAGAGGGAAAACGUUGCUGGAGGUGUGGCCGAACUCAUGUAGUGAAGGUCUGCAACCUCAAGCGUACAUGUGGUGUUUGUAAAGAGUUACAUCUUACAGUUCUGCAUGAUUCUGUUGAUGAUACUUCCAGAGCUGUUCUCAUGGUCAGUUUGCCACCGACCAGGAUUUACCUUGAUCGUCCUAACCAUUCACCCAAAGUCAUGCUGAAAGUGGUUAAAGUCCUUCUACACAAUGGUCAGCAAACCAUGGAAACUCACGCAGUUCUUGAUGACGGGUCAGAGAGAACAUUAGUGCUUCAGCCAGAAGUGCAGCAGCUUAUCCCUCUGGAGUCUAAGGGUAUUUUGGGGCCUGGAGAAGUUUUGUCAUGCCCUGACAUUUGUGCUUUUUUCAGUUUCUUAUAAAUAACCAAAUGGCUAAAGUCUAAUCUCACUGUAAUCAGCACAAACUGG
ensembl:lncRNA